rnacentral:tRNA from 1 species
AGCCCCGAGGUGUUAACAUAUUAGAUUGCAAAUCUAAAGUAGUAGGGUAGCCCCCCUGCCGGGGCUU